rnacentral:lncRNA from 1 species
ACUACUAGAGUUAAAAAAUUGGGCAUCUUCUAGGUCAAACUAUAAAUGUUGAUUAAUUUUUGUUUCGGUUGAGAAUCGGGCACCUUCUAGGUCAAGAAAAUUGGGCAUGACCUUUGCUAAUUUUCUUGACCUAGGAGUGCCCCAUUCUCAACCGGAACGGAAAUUAAUCAACAUUUCAGGAGAAAGGGGUCAUUUUAAAAGAUCACAAGUUCAGAAGAUCUACAGUAGCAACAUCACAAGUUGACAAAAUUCAGUGAAUAUAAUGAUCAACUCUGCAGUAGCAACAGCAUCACAAGUAGUACAGCAGCAACAUCAUCACAAGUAGAACAGCAGCAGCAGUGAAUACAGUUUUUAUAGCAGGAUUUCAUACUCAAGCAAAGUUGUCCAUCCGAGAAGAAUUUGGCAUACUUCAUCUGAAUUAUCUUGUGUGUGUGACUGUGUGUGCGCGCUCUGUUCACUGCAAUAGGGUGUGGAGAUUAGGGAUCAAAGCCAUUUCAUUAGGGAGGAAAACAUCGACAUGCUCAGAAACGCCAAAGAGGCCAACAGGGUGCAGGUAUGUAUACUACUGUCCGUCUUCAACACUGCUUUCUUGUUCACUUUGAUAUCAUAUCCUUCCCCACUUGAAACAAACAAAUCCUCUAUAUGUAUGUUCAGGCCUCGGGUGACUCGCUUUGCACAUGACCUGGGCAACUUUAUCAUUUGCUUACCACUAAAGUUUUAACUGUCACACAUCCUGUAGAUUCAGAAUGCCUCGCCUACUUUGCCAUACUACUACGACCUGCGUAUGUUUGUAAAAAUAAAUCAAUCCAUAGGAUAAAAACUGCAGAACAUUCGUUCAUUGCGAAGUAGAUAGUGCUGCUAGCUCCUGAAUCAUUGUUGCAUAUUUCAGACAGAACCAAAAGAGAAACAUUACAUUUCAUAAAUUUGUACGAUAAGCAUUUAUUAGUUUGGUAUUUUAUUUAGCCAGCGUGCUAUUUCAUUAGUUUGGUAUUCUUGCAGCUCAUGAACACCUGGGUAGACAAAAUGCAUUUAUUUAUUUUUCAAGCGAAAACGGAAACAAAAGUAGUGUCAACAAGUACCAACUCAAGGUUACAGAACCAAAUCAGGGGGUCAAGUUCCCUCCUGAUAACACAACCCUACAUAAUUUGAGAACAGAGCAAAAAUGGGGCGGCCUUAUUUCCAACCAGGGGGUCAAGUACCAACUCCAGGUUACAGAACCAAACCAGGGGGUCCCCAUUUUCCAAAAUGCAGUUUUUUAUUUACGCCAGUCUUAUUUCCAACCAAAUCCAUGAUCAUAUCUCAUACACUUGCUGCUGUGUCCAUCACAAUUGAUUCAAAAAAAAUUACAAAUUAAUGGACAGAUGCAAACUGAACCAAAUAUGUAACAGAACAUGCAUUUGUUCCUGAAGAUGCAAUUGUGGGAGGGAGGGGAACCAAUACCUGGUUGCUGAUGUCAUUUUUGCACGAGGAGGAGAUCAACAGGGGCACGCCGGAGCACCUUCAUGCCGGACUGCCGGAGCACCUUGCCGCUGGAGGAGCCCACCCUGGACAACAGAGAAAUAGGCCGG